GCUGUAAGUAAGCUUUGAUCCAGAGAUUUCCGAAUGGGGAAACCCAGCAUGAGUUAUGUCAUGUUAUCGAUAUGUGAAUACAUAGCAUAUCAGAAGGCACACCCGGAGAACUGAAACAUCUUAGUACCCGGAGGAAGAGAAAGAAAAUUCGAUUCCCUUAGUAGCGGCGAGCGAAACGGGAAGAGCCCAAACCAACAAGCUUGCUUGUUGGGGUUGUAGGACACUCUAUACGGAGUUACAAAGGACGACAUUAGACGAAUCAUCUGGAAAGAUGAAUCAAAGAAGGUAAUAAUCCUGUAGUCGAAAAUGUUGUCUCUCUUGAGUGGAUCCUGAGUACGACGGAGCACGUGAAAUUCCGUCGGAAUCUGGGAGGACCAUCUCCUAAGGCUAAAUACUCUCUAGUGACCGAUAGUGAACCAGUACCGUGAGGGAAAGGUGAAAAGCACCCCGGAAGGGGAGUGAAAUAGAACCUGAAACCGUGUGCUUACAAGUAGUCAGAGCCCGUUAAUGGGUGAUGGCGUGCCUUUUGUAGAAUGAACCGGCGAGUUACGAUUUGAUGCAAGGUUAAGCAGUAAAUGUGGAGCCGUAGCGAAAGCGAGUCUGAAUAGGGCGUUUAGUAUUUGGUCGUAGACCCGAAACCAGGUGAUCUACCCUUGGUCAGGUUGAAGUUCAGGUAACACUGAAUGGAGGACCGAACCGACUUACGUUGAAAAGUGAGCGGAUGAACUGAGGGUAGCGGAGAAAUUCCAAUCGAACCUGGAGAUAGCUGGUUCUCUCCGAAAUAGCUUUAGGGCUAGCCUCAAGUGAUGAUUAUUGGAGGUAGAGCACUGUUUGGACGAGGGGCCCCUCUCGGGUUACCGAAUUCAGACAAACUCCGAAUGCCAAUUAAUUUAACUUGGGAGUC
rnacentral:rRNA from 1 species